rnacentral:rRNA from 1 species
GACGAACGCUGGCGGCGUGCUUAACACAUGCAAGUCGAGCGGUAAGGCCCUUUCGGGGGUACGACGAGCGGCGAACGGGUGAGUAACACGUGGGUGACCUGCCCUCAGCUCUGGGAUAAGCCUGGGAAACCGGGUCUAAUACCGGAUAUGACUCCAUGACGCAUGUUGUGGGGUGGAAAGCCUUGUGCGGCUGAGGAUGGGCCCGCGGCCUAUCAGCUUGUUGGUGGGGUGAUGGCCUACCAAGGCGACGACGGGUAGCCGGCCUGAGAGGGCGACCGGCCACACUGGGACUGAGACACGGCCCAGACUCCUACGGGAGGCAGNAGUGGGGAAUCUUGCGCAAAUGGGCGAAAAGCCUGACGCAGCGACGCCGCGUGA